UACGUAGGGUGCGAGCGUUGUCCGGAAUUAUUGGGCGUAAAGGGCUCGUAGGCGGUUUGUCGCGUCGGGAGUGAAAACUCAGGGCUUAACCCUGAGCCUGCUUCCGAUACGGGCAGACUAGAGGUAUGCAGGGGAGAACGGAAUUCCUGGUGUAGCGGUGAAAUGCGCAGAUAUCAGGAGGAACACCGGUGGCGAAGGCGGGUCUCUGGGCAUUAACUGACGCUGAGGAGCGAAAGCAUGGGGAGCGAACAGG
rnacentral:rRNA from 1 species